UACAGAGGGGGCAAGCGUUGUUCGGAAUUACUGGGCGUAAAGGGCGCGUAGGCGGCCCGCUAAGUCGAACGUGAAAUCCCCAGGCUCAACCUGGGAACUGCGUCCGAUACUGGCAGGCUUGAAUCCGGGAGAGGGAUGUGGAAUUCCAGGUGUAGCGGUGAAAUGCGUAGAUAUCUGGAGGAACACCGGUGGCGAAGGCGGCAUCCUGGACCGGCAUUGACGCUGAGGCGCGAAAGCCAGGGGAGCAAACGGG
rnacentral:rRNA from 1 species